GCAGUAUACAGUAUAUUUGAGUUGAGGAAGGUGUGUGGUGUAUCUGCAGUAUAUUUGAGUUGAGGAAGGUGUGUGAGGUAUCUGCAGUAUAGUAUAUUUGAGUUACAUUUACAUUUACAUUUAGUCAUUUAGCAGACGCUUUUGUCCAAAGCGACGUACAAUGGAGAGAACAGUCAAGCUAAGAGCAAUAAAAAACAUGGUGUAACAAUAAAUACUACUUUACAUGAGAAUUAGAAAACAACGACCUAGAAAAAAAGGAAAAAGAAGUGCAGGAAUGUAACUGUUGAAGUGCAAGUUAAGCGCUAGUCAAGGUGCCAGUUAGGAAGGGAGGUGCUCUCUGAAGAGUUGGGUCUAGGUGUGGAGGUAUCUGCAGUAUAGUAUAUUUGAGUUGAGGAAGGUGUGGAGGUAUCUACAGUAUAUUUGAGUUGAGGAAGGUGUGUGGUGUAUCUGCAGUAUAUUUGAGUUGAGGAAGGUGUGGUGUAUCUGCAGUACAGUAUCUUUGAGUUGAGGAAGGUGUGGUGUAUCUGCAGUACAGUGUAUUUGAGUUGAGGAGAUCACACACGUGCUGAAUGGUUCAUACCGGAGUUGAGAGGACUGAUGGCAUGAAUAUGGUUAUCUGUCGCAUUCAGACUUGUGGAUUUGCCACAGUGUUGACGUGAGGCACCCUGGGAAGACAAUUAGCAUGUCCCAGGGAGAGACAGAGAGAGG
ensembl:lncRNA